GACGUAGGGCGCGAGCGUUGUCCGGAUUUAUUGGGCGUAAAGAGCUCGUAGGCGGCUUGUCGCGUCGUCUGUGAAAUCCCAUGGCUCAACUGUGGGCUUGCAGUCGAUACGGGCAGGCUGGAGUUCGGUAGGGGAGACUGGAAUUCCUGGUGUAGCGGUGGAAUGCGCAGAUAUCAGGAGGAACACCGGUGGCGAAGGCGGCCUGCUGGGCCUUACCUGACGCUGGAGGAGCGAAAGCGUGGGGAGCGAACGGG
rnacentral:rRNA from 1 species